CAGACAGGCAACGAGUAGCGUCGCCAUGGCCUACUGAGUCAGUGAAGCGAGUUUUGAGAACCUUUUCGUCUAUUUCUCUGGAAAGGCAGCGACCAACUUCUCAAGCACCUGUAUCUGGUUUGUCUAUUGGAGUGUCAUCUAGCAGCGCCCCCCUCAACUCCAAUUGCUGCUGCUUCUGCUUCUGCUCCGGGUGCAGGUACACCUGGUUUAAUGCAAGGACCUGCCCAAGGUUAAUAUAUUUGGUACUGAUUGGGUAAUGGUCACAACAAGUGAUGGAAAAUAAUAUGACCACAACAACAAAACCAAGGCUGCGUUUCUCCUGCACUGCCCAGCAUGUUUCUCACAACAUUUUAGAACUUAAGCUCAUCAAUAUGUUGGAGGUAAUUUGUAGAAUAGCAGGAGUUUGCCACACUAUAUAGUUAGUUAGCAAGAUCUGGGAAGAAAUGAGGAAAAUAACAUCUCGAGCCUCAUAGGCUCAAGUUCGGAGGAAAAAUUGAGCCUCAAAGACUUGAGUUCUGAUUGCUGAGAUGGACAAGUUUUUGCCACAUGGAACUUGAGUCUUAAAGACUUGAGUUCCAAAGAAGAAGACGAACGAAGAUGGCGAUGAAGAUGAAGAACCAGAAAUGGGAAGAAGAAGUAGAACUGGGGAACUAGAAAUGGGAAGAAGAAGCAGAACAAGGGAAGAAGAAGCAGAAGUACCAGAUCCGAAAACCUCUCUGGAGAACGUAGAUCUGACGAAGAAGAAUCACGGGCUGGAGAACGCAGAUUCGAUAAAGAAGAAUCACGGGCUAGAGAACGCAGAUUCGACGAAGAAGAAUCACGGGCUGAAGGAAAGAAGAACAGGGGAAGAAGAAGCAGCACAGGAAAGUAAAUGGUGGAACUCGAGUCUUAAAAACUCGAGUUCCACGUGGAUUUUUUUCUACAUCCGCUCCCACCACUUACAACUCGAGUU